CGUAGCUAACGCAUUAAGUGCCCCGCCUGGGGAGUACGGCCGCAAGGCUAAAACUCAAAGGAAUUGACGGGGGCCCGCACAAGCGGCGGAGCAUGCGGAUUAAUUCGAUGCAACGCGAAGAACCUUACCAAGGCUUGACAUGUGCCAGACCGCUCCAGAGAUGGGGUUUCCCUUCGGGGCUGGUUCACAGGUGGUGCAUGGUUGUCGUCAGCUCGUGUCGUGAGAUGUUGGGUUAAGUCCCGCAACGAGCGCAACCCUCGUUCCAUGUUGCCAGCACGUAGUGGUGGGGACUCAUGGGAGACUGCCGGGGUCAACUCGGAGGAAGGUGGGGAUGACGUCAAAUCAUCAUGCCCCUUAUGUCUUGGGCUUCACGCAUGCUACAAUGGCCGGUACAAUGGGUUGCGAUACUGUGAGGUGGAGCUAAUCCCUAAAAGCCGGUCUCAGUUCGGAUUGGGGUCUGCAACUCGACCCCAUGAAGUCGGAGUCGCUAGUAAUCGCAGAUCAGCAACGCUGCGGUGAAUACGUUCCCGGGCCUUGUACACACCGCCCGUCAAGUCACGAAAGUUGGUAACACCCGAAGCCGAUGGCCUAACCACCUUGUG
rnacentral:rRNA from 1 species